rnacentral:tRNA from 6 species
AGGGCCAUGAUGUAAUGGCAGCAUAACGGUCUCCAAAACCGUUCGUAGAGGUCCGAAUCCUCUUGGCCCUG